GACAUUUGCCAAUGAAGAAGAGCUGGCUGUUGUGGCUGCUGGUGCAUUUGGCAGAUAGUUCCUGUUCUAGUGUUGAAAUGAAAAUUUAAAACCCCACACGCAUGGCUGGGAUAUUCUACAGCAGCUUGGCUGCAGGAGUUAUUUUGCUGGCUGCUAAGAAGCACCACUAGCCUAUUGCGGGGAGGGGAUCCAGCGUGUAUGCUGGACAUGUGUGGCAAGUCCCUAGGGAGAUUCUUUUGGGCUUUUUUAUACCCUCCUCUUUCUUCUUCAUUACCUUGGGCAUUCCAAGGCUCUUUUUCACCAGCUGGCAUCCUGGGAUGAGAAACACAGCACACAGGCUCAAGGGUGGCCAUGCAUGACGGCAGCUCAGUGACUCGGUGACCAAAUAUUUCCUCUAAUUUUGUUUGCAGGAUGAUGGAGCACUGAGCUGAAGCAGCGUGGGGAGAGCACAGCAUGCUUGCUCAUGAGCACCACGUCAGGGCUAAAAGCCCUUUCUCUUCCUGCCAGGUCUGAGUCACUGGCGAGAGCCAGGUAGCUACGGGAGCUGGAAGUGAAAGAGGCAGUUCCCCUAUGAAAUUCCUGUGACCAUGUCGACCUGCCUGGAGUCACCACCACUUUAUUGAUGUUUUCUUGACACCAGCUCCUGUAGAAUUGUAGACUGUCCUCCACAGCCCAUUCUGCUAAGUCUGGUAGGCUGUGCUGUUGUAUGUCUUGGUUUCUAAAAAGAGCAUUAAUCCUUCUUCUGUUCAAUGUGAAAUGUAUACCACGGGUUAGUUUCUCUGCAUUCAUAGAACCAGAUUUUUCUAUUUGAAAUUUUCAGUUUCUAUAAAGUCUGUUUGCCAAGAGUGGACAUAAUAAAUUACUCUUUAAGGUCUUUAUGAUCUAGUACUAAGACGGCUAAGGUCACAGGUGGCUCUUGGGUGACUGAAGGCUUCACAGACAAAAAGAACAAUACCUUGCAUUGACUCCAAGAGCAAAUUGAGAAGAGGUGGAUGUUCUGGAGCAUAUAUGUAAUAUGUCCUCUGUAGAGCAGGGGGAUUCUCCAGAGGCCCCCUCCAAAUUCAACUACUCAUUCUGAACUGGGAAGAAGGUUUUCUUUAAGAGGUGUCUGUAACCUUUGUGAUUUGAAAUUUCAUUUUCAUUUCACUCCAUCUUUCCAAUAAUGAGUAUAUCGCUAAGUAACAAUUUUCUCCCACCUCCAACAUUUCAUAUCCCUGUUGCUGCCAGGGUACCCAGAUCCCAUGAAGAGCCAAAUCAAGACCCUGUGAAUUCACACUGGUUUUUAAACAGAGGGCACAUUCUGGAUUUUGGCUUACUGGUGAAACUCUGUGUAGAAGGUACGAAGAUAUCACAUAGCAAAAACGUUUAUGGCACUUCUUGCUAGCGUGUGUCCGCCCUACAAGAACUGCGGGUAAUAUAAACGUAACAGAUGGAAUCACAGCUUACCAGUUAUAUGAGCUUGCACAAACUGCUUGAAGACUCUGUCCAUGUAAGUGCACUUCCUUGGCCAUAUUCCUUCCAGAAAACCGAUGUGGCCUCC